GACUCUCGGCAACAGAUAUCUCGGCUCUCGCAUCGAUGAAGAACGUAGCGAAAUGCGAUACCUGGUGUGAAUUGCAGAAUCCCGUGAACCAUCGAGUCUUUGAACGCAAGUUGCGCCCGAGGCCACUCGGCCGAGGGCACGCCUGCCUGGGCGUCA
rnacentral:rRNA from 2 species